rnacentral:rRNA from 1 species
CCUACGGGUGGCAGCAGUGGGGAAUAUUGCACAAUGGGGGAAACCCUGAUGCAGCAACGCCGCGUGAGCGAUGAAGGCCUUCGGGUCGUAAAGCUCUGUCCUAAGGGAAGAAUACUGACGGUACCUUAGGAGGAAGCCCCGGCUAACUACGUGCCAGCAGCCACGGUAAUACGUAGGGGGCUAGCGUUAUCCGGAAUUACUGGGCUUAAAGGGUGCGUAGGCGGCCCUUCAAGUAAGAGGUGAAAGGCUACGGCUCAACCGUAGUAAGGCUUUGAAACUGUAGGGCUUGAGUGCAGGAGAGGAAAGUGGAAGUCCCAGUGUAGGGGUGAAAUGCGUAGAUUUUGGGAGGUACACCAGUUGCGAAGGCGGCUCUCUGGACUGUAACUGACGCUGAGGCACGAAAGCGUGUGAAGCGAACAGGAUUAGAUACCCUGGUAGUC